rnacentral:rRNA from 1 species
UUAGCCAUGCUAGUCGUACGGGUUUAGACCCGUGGCGGAAAGCUCAGUAACACGUGGCCAAACUACCCUGNUGGACGGGGAUACUCUCGGGAAACUGAGGCUAAUCCUCGAUACAGCUUCCAGCCUGGAAUGGCGGAAGCUGGAAACGUUCCGACGCCACAGGAUGUGGCUGCGGCCGAUUAGGUAGACGGUGGGGUAACGGCCCACCGUGCCAGUAAUCGGUACGGGUGAUGAGAGUCAGAGCCCGGAGACGGUAUCUGAGACAAGAUACCGGGCCCUACGGGGCGCAGCAGGCGCGAAACCUUUACACUGCACGCCAGUGCGAUAAGGGGACUCCGAGUGCGAGGGCAUACAGUCCUCGCUUUUCUGGACCGUAGGGAGGUCCAAGAAUAAGGGCUGGGCAAGACCGGUGCCAGCCGCCGCGGUAAUACCGGCAGCCCAAGUGAUGGCCGAUAUUAUUGGGCCUAAAGCGUCCGUAGCUGGCCAGACAAGUCUGUUGGGAAAUCCACGUGCUCAACGCGUGGGCGUCCAGCGGAAACUGUCUGGCUUGGGGCCGGAGGACUCGAGGGGUACGUCCGGGGUAGGAGUGAAAUCCCGUAAUCCUGGACGGACCACCGGUGGCGAAAGCGCCUCGAGAGGACGGACCCGACAGUGAGGGACGAAAGCCAGGGUCUCGAACCGGAUUAGAUACCCGGGUAGUCCUGGCCGUAAACGAUGUCCGCUA